rnacentral:rRNA from 1 species
CCCUUAGAUGUCCUGGGCUGCACGCGCGCUACACUGGAAGUUACGGAUUGAGAUGCUACCUUGUCCGAAAUGGUCCGGGUAAUCACCUAAAAGCUUGUCAUAAUUGGAAUGGAUUAUUGUAACUAGUAAUCCUGAACGAGGAAUUCCUAGUAAGUCCCAGUCAACAGCUGGUACUGAUUACGUCCCUGCCCUUUGUACACACCGCCCGUCGCUACUACUGAUUGGACGUUUAAGCAAGAUUUUUAAACACUGACAGUGUGUAGUUCACGCUAUACUACAGUGAGAAGAAGAAGAUCGAGCUUACUUGUCUAGAGGAAGUAAAAGUCGUAACA